rnacentral:rRNA from 1 species
CCUACGGGAGGCAGCAGUGAGGAAUAUUGGUCAAUGGACGAGAGUCUGAACCAGCCAAGUAGCGUGAAGGAUGACUGCCCUAUGGGUUGUAAACUUCUUUUAUAUGGGAAUAAAACGUUCCACGUGUGGGAUUUUGUAUGUACCAUAUGAAUAAGGAUUGGCUAACUCCGUGCCAGCAGCCGCGGUAAUACGGAGGAUCCGAGCGUUAUCCGGAUUUAUUGGGUUUAAAGGGAGCGUAGGUGGAUUGUUAAGUCAGUUGUGAAAGUUUGCGGCUCAACCGUAAAAUUGCAGUUGAAACUGGCAGUCUUGAGUACAGUAGAGGUGGGCGGAAUUCGUGGUGUAGCGGUGAAAUGCUUAGAUAUCACGAAGAACUCCGAUUGUGAAGGCAGUUCACUGGACUGCAACUGACACUGAGGCUCGAAAGUGUGGGUAUCAAACAGGAUUAGAUACCCGUGUAGUC